UCACUCUCGUCCGGUCUCUUUUCCGGCGAAAUCGAGUUGUAUUUUUUUUUGCUCAAGAGCCCUAAUCCCCUUUUUGACAACCGUGGAAUCAGAAUAUUGGUUUCAGUUCGACCCGAUUUAGAUUCGGAAUGUGCUUUUGAAAUAAGGCCCAAUUGAUUAGGGCACAAUAUAUAAGAAGUGGCGAUAACACUAAAAUAGCAAAAAUCUCAUUAGUUUAAGUCUGAGGCAGCGGUGAAAGCAGAGAGCUGUAGGGAGUUUUAAUGGGUGGUUUUGCCCCUCUCUGUCAUUCUCCGCCACCGAUGAUCACUCAAAUGAAAAUUUUCCGAUUGCAAAACCACCCUUAGUUGAUUGAUUUAUUACUCCCUUUGUUCAAAUUGAUUAGAGGCUAUGAAGAUUUUUGUUUGUGAAAAAGACAGACUUAUAAAUCUAUUGAGCUGGAAAAAACUGUAUCUUGGCAUGGCAGCGCAGAUAUGUCUAUGAGAUACAAUAACAACAACAUAUACGCAGACCUUACCCUACCUUGUGGGUCUAUGAGAUAUUGGAGAAAAUCCAUUUUUUGGGUGUUUUUUCCUGUCUCAUAAGGCUAACUUAUGCUUGCAGCCAUGGCAGUUUUUUCCAAAGCUUUUUGGGUUUUGUCUGAGAAAAGGCGAAUCUGAGCCUACCCCAUUGCUUUUAAUUUUGGUUUUUGCUUUUUUGCUUUUUUUCUGCUACUUGAUUAUAUAGGCAAAAUCUGAGCUCAUACCUCAUUUCAACUUUUGGUUCACUUUUAAGACUAACUCUUGAGAAGCAUUGUGGAAAUAAUUCUUAGCUUGAAAGGUAUUCAUUUCAGUCUAAAACUAGUUUGAUUUUCCAGAAUGUUCUGGAAUAAUUUCUCCAAUGUUUUCAGUAUCUGAAUUUUAGUAAUUGAACGAUAAAUGGUGAUGGUAGCAAAAAUAAUUGAUGGCCAAAGAUCAAAUAAGAAAGCAAACAACAAAUUCUCUGCUUUUGAAGUUCUAGGAAUGUGAAUGCUAAGUUCUAUUUGAGAAUUAACUUUAUUGCGAAAGAUGUACUUCUUGAUACUUUAGCCUAUUUUUCUCUGUUUAUGAACUCUCUUUGUUGAAUGAUAAUGCUGCUUCUUAGAUAUGUGUGUGCCUAAAAAUGUUUUCUUUUCACUAUAAUUCUAAGAAUCAAAAUGCAAACAAGUAAAGUCUAUUUUUGAGUUUCUUUGUUGGUAAAUAUGUUCUUUUUGAUACUUAAUCCUAUUUCCCACUUGUUUUUAAAAUGUAAUGAUUUGGUAUGCUCUUGCCCUGAGAUGGGUGUGCCUUAGUAUUUUUCUUUGUCGAAUCAUAGGCAUCAUAUGCUAAAGAGGUACUUUCCAAUACUUUAGCCCUUAUGUUCUCUGUUUUCGAACUCUGAAAAGAAUCAGAAUACCUGCUUCUUUGACAUGGAUGUGCCUAAAUGUGUUUCCUUUUGUCUAGAAAUCUAGGCAUUUGAAUACUAAUGUCUAUUUUUGGGUUACUUUGUUGCUGAGAUAUUUUUUUCCGACUAAUCCUGAUUGGUGAGUCCAUGAUCUCAUCAAGCAUUAUCUAGUAAUUCGAUUACUGAACUUUUAAAAAAAUUUAUUGCCACUGCAUCUAUUUAUGCAGGAGCUCUGCAGUUGGUGUUGCAAGUUAAAAGCUAAAAUCAUAGACCUUAACAAGGAAGGCAAUACAUUUUUGGGGAAGUAAGAUCGUUGUAUAAUUUAACCAAAUUUUGCAGUUGUUGCUUGUUUUGUGAAUACCCACUAAUUGUGUAUAUUGAGUUCGUGCUGAUUGGUUUUUCGUGAGAUUUCUUGUUUUUAUUGGUUUUUUGGCACACUUUGUGAUUGACCUAAAGAAGUCAUACUUCUUGCUCUUCUCCUUCAAUUGUUUUGUUUAUUCUGUGCAUGAAGGAAUUCAUCCUAAAUGAUGAGUAAUUCAAGUAAGCUAUGGAUUAACAUCCAAAUGAAGCUUUUUGUCAUAAUUAACCCUGAUAGAUGGAUGAGAUUCCUCUCUAUUUUUUUGUUACAUCCUUCAUUAGGUCUGUACUUACACACGACCCUCCCUACCACGGUGUGAGAUAAUAUUUGGGCAAUCCGGUGCACUAAGUUAUCGCUAUGUGCGGAGUCCAUGGAAGGGCCGGACCACAAGGGUAUAUUGUACGCAAGUAUUUUGCAUAUUCUUAGCGUAAAUGUCAAGCUUUUUCGAUUUUGGUUUUUUUAAACUUCUGCUCAGUCCGUCCAACACAUUUAUUUUGUGGUUACGUUUAUAAUUCUUGUUUUCAAAAGUACUAUGUGAUUUUCUUUUGUAA